rnacentral:rRNA from 1 species
GGCAGACGGGUGAGUAACACGUGGGAACAUACCCUUCGGUUCGGAACAACUCAGGGAAACUUGAGCUAAUACCGGAUACGCCCUUCGGGGGAAAGAUUUAUCGCUGAAGGAUUGGCCCGCGUCUGAUUAGCUAGUUGGUGAGGUAAUGGCUCACCAAGGCGACGAUCAGUAGCUGGUCUGAGAGGAUGAUCAGCCACACUGGGACUGAGACACGGCCCAGACUCCUACGGGAGGCAGCAGUGGGGAAUAUUGGACAAUGGGCGCAAGCCUGAUCCAGCCAUGCCGCGUGAGUGAUGAAGGCCUUAGGGUUGUAAAGCUCUUUCGACGGGGACGAUAAUGACGGUACCCGUAGAAGAAGCCCCGGCUAACUUCGUGCCAGCAGCCGCGGUAAUACGAAGGGGGCUAGCGUUGCUCGGAAUCACUGGGCGUAAAGGGCGCGUAGGCGGCCAUUCAAGUCAGGGGUGAAAGCCUGGAGCUCAACUCCAGAAUUGCCUUUGAUACUGUUUGGCUUGAGACCGGAAGAGGUAAGUGGAACUGCGAGUGUAGAGGUGAAAUUCGUAGAUAUUCGCAAGAACACCAGUGGCGAAGGCGGCUUACUGGUCCGGUUCUGACGCUGAGGCGCGAAAGCGUGGGGAGCAAACAGGAUUAGAUAUCCUGGUAGUCCACGCCGUAAACGAUGAAUGCUAGCCGUUGG